AUUGAACGCUGGCGGCAUGCCUUACACAUGCAAGUCGAACGGCAGCACGGGAGCAAUCCUGGUGGCGAGUGGCGAACGGGCGAGUAAAGUAUCGGAACGUGCCCAGUCGUGGGGGAUAACGUAGCGAAAGUUACGCUAAUACCGCAUACGAUCUAUGGAUAAAAGCGGGGGAUCGCAAGACCUCGCGCGAUUGGAGCGGCCGAUAUCAGAUUAGGUAGUUGGUGGGGUAAAGGCUCACCAAGCCGACGAUCUGUAGCUGGUCUGAGAGGACGACCAGCCACACUGGGACUGAGACACGGCCCAGACUCCUACGGGAGGCAGCAGUGGGGAAUUUUGGACAAUGGGCGAAAGCCUGAUCCAGCCAUGCCGCGUGCAGGAUGAAGGCCUUCGGGUUGUAAACUGCUUUUGUACGGAACGAAAAGGUUUGGCCUAAUAAGCUGAGCUCAUGACGGUACCGUAAGAAUAAGCACCGGCUAACUACGUGCCAGCCGCCGCAGUAACAC
rnacentral:rRNA from 1 species